UCGAGAGGCUUUGGCAAUGGGGGAAACCCUGACCAAGCGACGCCGCGUGGAGGAUGAAGGCCCUUGGGUUGUAAACUCCUUUUGUUGGGGAAGAAACACGAUCAGGUGAACAAUCUGGUCGUUUGACGGUACCCGACGAAUAAGCUCCGGCUAACUCCGUGCCAGCAGCCGCGGUAACACGGGGGGAGCAAGCGUUGUUCGGAAUCACUGGGCGUAAAGGGCGUCUAGGCGGCCAAGUAAGUGAGAUGUGAAAUCCCCCGGCUUACCCGGGGACCUGCAUCUCAUACUGCUUGGCUUGAGUAUGGGAGAGGAUGUGGGAAUUCCUGGUGUAGCGGUGAAAUGCGUAGAUAUCAGGAGGAACACCGGUGGCGAAGGCGCACAUCUGGCCCAAUACUGACGCUGAAGCGCGAAAGCUAGGGGAGCAAACGGGAUUAGAUACCCCUGUAGUCC
rnacentral:rRNA from 1 species